GAUGAACGCUGGCGGCGUGCUUAACACAUGCAAGUCGAACGAAGCACUUUAUUUGAUUUCCUUCGGGACUGAUUAUUUUGUGACUGAGUGGCGGACGGGUGAGUAACGCGUGGGUAACCUGCCUUGUACAGGGGGAUAACAGUUGGAAACGGCUGCUAAUACCGCAUAAGCGCACAGCAUCGCAUGAUGCAGUGUGAAAAACUCCGGUGGUAUAAGAUGGACCCGCGUUGGAUUAGCUAGUUGGUGAGGUAACGGCCCACCAAGGCGACGAUCCAUAGCCGACCUGAGAGGGUGACCGGCCACAUUGGGACUGAGACACGGCCCAAACUCCUACGGGAGGCAGCAGUGGGGAAUAUUGCACAAUGGGCGAAAGCCUGAUGCAGCGACGCCGCGUGAGCGAUGAAGUAUUUCGGUAUGUAAAGCUCUAUCAGCAGGGAAGAUAAUGACGGUACCUGACUAAGAAGCACCGGCUAAAUACGUG
rnacentral:rRNA from 1 species